ACUGUAUGACGCCGUUGACUUUUUAUCCAACGUUUGACCAUUCGUCUUAUUCAAAAAAUUUAUGUAGUUAUUAUUUAUUUUAUUCUGACUUGAUUAAUCAUCGAAUGUUCUUUAAGAAUGACAUAAAUAUUUGCGUAUUUGCAUUAAAAUUUUGAAUAAAACGAAUGGUCAAACGUUGAUAAAAAGUCAACGGCGUCGUACAUU
rfam:Oryza sativa Japonica Group DNA, chromosome 10, cultivar: Nipponbare, complete sequence.